AAGCGCUUGGCACCAGCCCUUGGCUCCCGACCAUCACCUGGCCUUCUGGCUGGUGCACUGGUCGGGGGCUGGGCCAGCGUCGGCUCCGUCCGCCGGAGAAAGGCCUUGGGGAUGUGGCUCUUUUUGGAGCGUUAUAACCCUUGGCGGCAUGCGGUGUGAUGGGGCCGAGGUCUGCGGCCUUUGCCUAGGACGCUGGCGUAAUGGUUCCAAGCG
rnacentral:rRNA from 1 species